CAAAUUUAAAAUCUACCUGGUUUYCAGGUCGAGUUGUAAUUUGAAGAUACGUUUUUGACGUUCCGGGUUGAACUAAAUCCUUUGGGAUAAGGUAUCAUGGAGGGUGAGAAUCCCGUAUAUACCAACCRUAGGGAUGUUAUUUAAUACGUUUCUAAGAGUCGAGUUGUUUGGGAAUGCAGCUCUAAAUGGGUGGUAAAUUUCACCUAAUGCUAAAUAUAAGCGAGAGACCGAUAGCGAACAAGUACAGUGAUGGAAAGAUGAAAAGAACUUUGAAAAGAGAGUUAAAUAGUAYGUGAAAUUGUUGAAAGGGAAACGAUUGAAGUCAGUCAUGCCGUGGGAAUCAACUUWGAGGAAACUCUGAGUGCACUUCUUCGCUUGGCAGGUCAACGUCGAUUUUGGAUGUCAUAAAAUGAUUGGGGGAAGGUAGCUCYUUCGGGAGUGUUAUAGCCCUUGGUAGAUGUGAUGUCUGGGAUCGAGGAUUGCAAUGGAUACCCUUUGGGGCUAGCCGCCUGAUCUCUAAUYGGUAUUGGGUUACGGAUAGCAUGCUGACCGUGAUCUAAUUAUUGGUUAAAAGGUUAG
rnacentral:rRNA from 1 species